AAGGGUGUAGCUCCAAUUGGCAGAGCGGCGGCUUCCAAAUCCGACGGUUGAGAGUUCAAAUCUCUCCUCCCUUGCCA
rnacentral:tRNA from 1 species